rnacentral:rRNA from 1 species
GUGAGGAAUAUUGGUCAAUGGACGAGAGUCUGAACCAGCCAAGUCGCGUGAAGGAAGACGGUUCUAUGAAUUGUAAACUUCUUUUGUGCAGGAAUAAAGUGGGUUACGUGUAACCUUUUGUAUGUACUGUACGAAUAAGGAUCGGCUAACUCCGUGCCAGCAGCCGCGGUAAUACGGCGGAUCCGAGCGUUAUCCGGAUUUAUUGGGUUUAAAGGGUGCGUAGGUGGAUUGAUAAGUCAGCGGUGAAAGUUUGCAGCUUAACUGUAAAAUUGACGUUGAAACUGUAGGUCUUGAGUGCAAAUGAGGUAGGCGGAAUGUGUUGUGUAGCGGUGAAAUGCUUAGAUAUAACACAGAACUCCGAUUGCGAAGGCAGCUUACUGGGAUGCAACUGACACUGAUGCACGAAAGCGUGGGUAUCAAACAGGAUUAGAAACCCCGGUAGUCC